rnacentral:rRNA from 1 species
UACGGAUGGUGCAAGCGUUGUUCGGAUUGAUUGGGCGUAAAGCGCACGUAGGCGGGUUCAUAAGUCGGAUGUGAAAGCCCCGGGCUCAACCUGGGAACUGCAUUCGAAACUGUGAAUCUUGAAUAUCUGAGGGGUUGGUAGAAUUCCAGGUGUAGGAGUGAAAUCCGUAGAUAUCUGGAGGAACAUCGGAGGCGAAGGCGACCAACUGGCAGUAUAUUGACGUUGAGGUGCGAAAGCGUGGGGAGCAAACAGG